GCCGCCUUGGCGUAGUCGUAGCGCGUCCCACUUGUACUAAAACAGGUCAAUGGGAAGGUCACUAGUUCAAUCCUGGUAGGCGGCA